rnacentral:rRNA from 1 species
GGCUCAUGACGAACGCUGGCGGCGUGCUUAACACAUGCAAGUCGAACGCUGAAACCAAAUGCUUGCAUUUGGUGGAUGAGUGGCGAACGGGUGAGUAACACGUGGGUGAUCUGCCCUACACUUUGGGAUAAGCCUGGGAAACUGGGUCUAAUACCGAAUAUUCACACCACCGUAGGGGUGGUGUGGAAAGCUUUAUGCGGUGUGGGAUGAGCCUGCGGCCUAUCAGCUUGUUGGUGGGGUAAUGGCCUACCAAGGGGUCGACGGGUAGCCGGCCUGAGAGGGUGUACGGCCACAUUGGGAAUGAGACACGGCCCAGACUCCUACGGGAGGCAGCAGUGGGGAAUAUUGCACAAUGGGCGCAAGCCUGAUGCAGCGACGCCGCGUGGGGGAUGACGGCCUUCGGGUUGUAAACUCCUUUCGCUAGGGACGAAGCCUUUUUGGUGACGGUACCUGGAGAAGAAGCACCGGCUAACUACUUGCCAGCAGCCGCGGUAAUACUUAGGGUGCGAGCGUUGUCCGGAAUUACUGGGCGUAAAGAGCUCGUAGGUGGUUUGUCGCGUCUUCUGUGAAAUCCCGGGGCUUAACUUCGGGCGUGCAGGCGAUACGGGCAUAACUUGAUUGCUGUAGGGGAGACUGGAAUUCCUGGUGUAGCGGUGAAAUGCGCAGAUAUCAGGAGGAACACCAAUGGCGAAGGCAGGUCUCUGGGCAGUAACUGACGCUAAGGAGCGAAAGCAUGGGUAGCGAACAGGAUUAAAUACCCUGGUAGUCCAUGCCGUAAACGGUGGGCGCUAGGUGUAGGGGUCUUCCACAACUUCUGUGCCGCAGCUAACGCAUUAAGCGCCCCGCCUGGGGAGUACGGCCGCAAGGCUAAAACUCAAAGGAAUUGACGGGGGCCCGCACAACCGGCGGACCAUGUGGAUUAAUUCAAUGCAACGCGAAGAACCUUACCUGGGCUUGACAUGGACCGGAUCGGCGUAAAGAUACUUUUUCCCUUGUGGUCGGUUCACAGGUGGUGCAUGGUUGUCGUCAGCUCGUGUCGUGAGAUGUUGGGUUAAGUCCCGCAA